AUCGACGAUCACGACUAUGACGUGAAGAUGCGCUCCGCCGUCCGCUUCAUCGAGGAAGGCGACAAGGUCAAGAUGACCAUGCGCUUCCGCGGUCGCGAGAUGGCGCACCAGGAUCUCGGUCUGAACGUGCUCGUCCGCGUGCGCGACCAGCUCCAGGACAUCGCCAAGGUCGAGCAGAUGCCCCGGGUCGAAGGUCGUAUGAUGGUCAUGGUGCUGGCUCCGCGCUGAGCCCUGGCCAAAAGGGAACCUGCGGGGCGGUCCGCCGCCCCGCACCUUCUGCUAUGACGUUCUUUGGAUGAUGGAAAAUCCUA
rnacentral:misc_RNA from 1 species